AGUGAACGCUGGCGGUAGGCCUAACACAUGCAAGUCGAACGGCAGCACAGUAAGAGCUUGCUCUUACGGGUGGCGAGUGGCGGACGGGUGAGGAAUACAUCGGAAUCUACUUUUUCGUGGGGGAUGACGUAGGGAAACUUACGCUAAUACCGCAUACGACCUACGGGUGAAAGCAGGGGAUCUUCGGACCUUGCGCGAUUGAAUGAGACGAUGUCGGAUUAGCUAGUUGGCGGGGCAAAGGCCCACCAAGGCGACGAUCCGUAGCUGGUCUGAGAGGAUGAUCAGCCACACUGGAACUGAGACACGGUCCAGACUCCUACGGGAGGCAGCAGUGGGGAAUAUUGCACAAUGGGCGCAAGCCUGAUCCAGCCAUACCGCGUGGGUGAAGAAGGCCUUCGGGUUGUAAAGCCCUUUUGUUGGGAAAGAAAAGCAGCAGGUUAAUACCCCGCUGUUCUGACGGUACCCAAAGAAUAAGCACCGGCUAACUUCGUG
rnacentral:rRNA from 1 species